GGGAGACACUGAGGGAGGGAGGGAGUCUCCACCGUUGGUGAGGGGGUUAUCUAAUAACCGUUUUCAUAUUGAAAGGAGAAGCGGCAUAAGGGUUUGUUGAUAUAGGGGACAGCAGCGUGCGCGAUACCCUGUUAUUAUUUUGUACGUCUGCUUUUCAUUUUACUUAAGCACCGAAAGCGAAAACAUGUUGGUUGAAUUUCCUCGACGCAAGGAGAAAUUACUGCCGUUCCUUUAUUUACUUCUCAGCGCUGACGCUGGAGCCCAAUUCCAACAUGGCUCGGUUUUAAACUGGCGAGGUGGCAAAUCUGUAUUGUUUAUUGUUUUACCAAAGAGAUUGUAGAAUCGUAAAGCUGGAAGGGACUUCCAAGGGUCAUCUAGUCCAACAGCCUGCGACUCAGGAGUCACAACUAAGGAAUCCCAGAGAGAUGGCCACCUCUGUUUAAAAACAUCCAAUGAAGAAGAGAGAGGCAUGUUGUACAUACCGGUAAUAAUUUAGUAACAAUUCGGAAGUUAGCCAGGGGUUACUGGAGGGAGAAGGCUUUUUUCUGCACAGGUGUCCAGACUAAAUAAGAGAUAGGGAACCUACAGCCCUCCAGAUAUUGUGGGAUUACCGAUCCCAUCAUCCCCAGCCAGAGUGGCCAAUGGUUAGGGGUGAUGCCAGUUGUGCUCCACCAGCAUCAGGAGGACCCUACUUUGGCCGCCUCUAAGAAAUGCAUGACAGACAGAAUCACACCAGGGGCAAUAGAGUUGCAGAAACCGACAAUUGCCCAAAUGUUUCUUUCUAUGUUACUCUUAAAAGUGAACCUAGCAGAGGCUGGGACUGUUAAUCUUUAAUCAUAUCAUAUCUAAUCUUUGAAUGGUUUCCAGAGAGAGACUAAUAUCCGUAGACUGGCCUUGCAGACAUAAGAAGAGCCUGCUGGAUCAGGCCAAUGGUCCAUCUAGUCUAGCAUCCUGUUCUCACAGUGGCCAUCCAGAUGGCUGUAGGAAGCCAGCAAGCAGGAUUUAAGCACAAGAGCACUGUCCUUUCACUGUGUUAUCUACCAGGCAGUCUCAUCUGUUGACUAUGAGGAACAUGAAUUUAAGGCAUAAUGCAUUCCAGAAUAAAUUCUGGUUUGCCAGUAACAAGAUAUCAUUCAUUUGGCAUAGGGUAAGGCAGCACCAGACCCAUGGCGAGAAAGGGGUACUACUAACAGGCAGGGAAAUGUGGAGCCCAGUUCUAGCCAUGUUUAGUUAUCUCACUGGUUUCAUUUGAAUUUGCUCCAAUGUAAGCAUGGACAGUAUUGCAGCCAUUCAUCUUCAUGUUUAUUAUUGGGUUCAAUUGUUCUUCAGUUUUCUGCCGCAAACAGCCUAACCCUAUUUAUCUGGUAAUAAGCCCUACGUAAUUUAAUAGGACUCACUUCUGAGUGGACAGCUCAUAAAAUUAAUGCAGCAUACAAUUUUCAUAUGUUUACUACCUUUAAAUCUACAUGCAAAAUCAAAUACCAGCUGAUUUAGGGUUGUGGAAAACUUUCCAGAAAUGUUUAUGGAAAUUUUCACAAUUUAUUCCCCCCCGCCCCCGCCAGUAAGCCAACAUCACUAACUGAACUGAUGCCUUUCUUACUGGGCUUAUUUUAAUAUUAAUACAGGGCAUACAUGUUGAAAAUGACCCCUUUGUUUGAAACAGUACAGUUGUCUUUUAAAAUCUUGCCUAGAACUGAAGAUUUAUGCUGGGCAGAGAUCUGAUUCUAGGGUGAUACCAAAUCACCUUCUGAGGGAAGACCAAUACACCCCUCCGGCUACGUUGGGUAUCUCUAAUCCUGAGGAAAAACCAAGCAUGCUUGUCAUAUUUAUAGAGACUCUUUACUCACAUUAGCAUGCCAUGGCUGAAAAAAGCAUUAACCACCAGAAACAGCGCUGUCACCAGCAAUAGACACUGAUGCAAGUCCUAGAAGGACAGGGAUUAAUGUACUUACUUAAAAUUAUAAUCUAUCCUGAGUCACAUGGAUGGUUUGGGCUAUAAAACAAAAAUAACUGCAUGUCCUAGUGAGCCACUUGUUUGGCAAGGUUGCCCAGGUCAGACCCCAAUGACCAUGUGAGUCAAAUUCUCCUUUCCCAGCAUUUAAUUAGGAUGGUCCUAUUGAACCAGUAGAAUUGCUGGGAAAUUUUCCGGAAAACCUCUCAGCCACUGAUGAGAAAUGUCAGUUAUUCUUGGGAACUCCUAAGGUUUGAGACAGUAGCACCCGCAAAUUUUGGAUCAGAAGAAAUAAAGACAAGUUAAUAAAAUGUUGCUGGCUGGUCUCCAAAGACUUCCAUAGACACGGUCUAAAAAACUUUGGUUAUCCUGAGAGAGCAAGCAGAUGACUGACGACUAGCUGUGAGGGAAACGCUGUGUGUUCUCAGCUUCUCCAUAGGUCUGGCAGGCACGUUGUUUCAUUACUAAAGUCCUGGAGCAACUUUUAAUAUCAUUCAGGAUGACACAAGCCAUUUUUUAUGAUGAUAAAUGGUCUAGAAUCACCACCAAAGGAAACAUGUAAGGCUGGUGACACAUUUAUUGUUACCAUGGCUGCUCCUGGCUGGAGAUUACUUAUUAAAAACCAGCAAGAGGGCAGCAGUAGACAGCUGUUUGAAGGGACCAGAAUUAUUCCUGCUCUCAGACACAAUCAUAGCCAGAAUGAGUGAGAGGAACUUUCUGCCUUCGGCGAAACUAAUAAAUGAAAAUAUUACUUUAAGUGGCAAGGGGUAGGAGAGUUUCCCCCCACCCCCUAGAUUUGGAUCAUAUCUGAACCUUCUAUGUGGAACAAAUUGAAUCGAUUGCAAUCUGAUUUUACAAUAAUGUUUUCUUGUUUGAAAUAAUACCUUUAUUUGAGCAAAUGCAUAUUUUAAACCAAUUAAUUCAAAGUGUUCUUUCUUUGGCUAUGUUUGUACUUCAGGGCUGAACUACAUGAGCCAUAUCUCUUUUUUAUUCUGUGGAUUUAUGCAUUUUUAUUUUUGGCUAAGCUACAUUAGUUUAUCAGCCUUCUCUAAUCCCAGUUUUAAAUGUGGACAAUCAAUUCUGUGGUGCAUUUCUAAGAGGUUUUGUGUCAAUUUUGAAAGCAGUGGCAAUGAAGCCUCUGGUUCCUGAGUUGGCUGAGCUACUGUGAGGUUUAACAGUUUCUGUGAACAUUCCAUCUGCUGAGGGAGAUUAUUAGGCUGUGGCUUCAUAUUGCUCCAACUUUGCCAGAUGAAGUAAACAAAACAAAACAAAAUCUCUCACAUGGAGAAUGUGGACUGGAAAGCUCAGCAAGAAGAGGUCCCAGGAGGAAGCAGCACUCACAGGUGCCCUGGUGAAUGACAUAAUCACGCCGGACCAUCAAGCUUGCAGAUCACCAAAUUGCGAGGGGAAGAGAGGCAAGAUCCAUGCAGAUCUGAUCCAAAAAACCAACCUUGGAGAGUCCAAUCCACUGCAUGGAUGGCAGGUGUAUGCAAAAUAUGAAAAUGAAAGGAAAUUGUUCAGACCUGGGGAGUAAUAAGCUUAUUCUAAUUAUUCUCCCUGCAUCUGGGCAGAACAAAAUCUUGCAUCCACUGAGCCCCACUGGGACCAAUUUGCAGCCCCAGCAGGUGUAUCCAAUUGGUAUAAAUUAGCUAAGGCACAACAGUAGACCUUUGCUAGAUACAGCAGGAGUUCUGAAGCUGAGGUUUGCAAGCUCCUGCUUCACCUAUCCACCCAUCCGUCCCUUGUACUCUGCUUCCUAUUCUGCCUCUCCCUAUUUCUCCUUCCCAACUAAAGCCUGGCUACAACAGAACCUCUACAAGGGAGAAUGAAUGAGGAUCAUCUGGACCUGUCAAGUAAUGGUAAGCUCAAUUAUUAGCUGUGUGUGUUUCUAGGGAAUGGAGGACAUGGAACAACACCCUAAUUAGAAAUCAUUGGUGUUCCGCCUGUUAAUUGAGGAUAUUUUAAUGGGUGGGCUUAGUAAACAUGCCUAGAUAAGAGAUUUAAGUGCACCCUAGAACUGCUGGGGUACAACUUCUUCACCUUCAGAAUCACUGCUUAAGGUGAGAAGCAACUUCCUGGGCAGUUGGGGAAGUCUGUAGAGGAGCUACAGGUAGCUGGGAUCCUGGUUCUCCUGAGGUCACAGAAGUAUGUGCUCAAGAAGGAAGGUCUGUUGUCUGGAUUACUGGUAAGCUGCCUCGCCCAAGUGACAGCUAAUAUAGCAAAUGGCAGCACAGGCCUGGCUGUGUCCAACUGCUUCUUCAGCAAAUGUCACCCUUUUCCUGCCCAACUCUGGGGAGACUACAGUGUUUAUGUUCAAACACAAAACAAACUUUCAAGUACUCUAUCCUAGGGUUUAAUAGCAAAGCCCAAACUGGUAAUUGAAAAUUAUUUAUUCAUGACCAGAUAAGAGUCACUCACAUUUUCUGCCAAAUUUACCCAUAAUGUUUAUGCCCCAUUUUCAAGCUCUGUAAAUUUUAUGCUGAAGCUGAUGCACGAUGGCACUAAACCAGAUAAGAGAGUCUUUCUUCUGGCAUCACUCGCUUCUCAUUAAUGUCACGAACACGCUUACAACCUGGAAAUUCAUUUACUGCUGGCAGUGCCCAGUGGCUCCCUCAGUUGCUGGGAAAAUAAGGAGACCCCCUUAAUAAAAGUGCUACAAAGGAAGAACAGCUGGUUUAGAAUAUAUCUUUACCAGGCAGGCCACAUCCCAAGACCCACUGUCUGCAAAAUGGGAUGAGAGGUCUCUAAUAUACCUGGGCUUCAGGGCACUUUCUAUUGAGCGGUGCAGAAACUGGGAGAGUGCAAGGGAAGUUUCCUAUGGAAAAGGCAGUCUGGGCCAGUUCCCCAGAACACAUAGGGCCCUGGAGACUCACAUAUUGCUGAUUCUGCUGCCAAUUGCAAAAGCUUUGGAGGCAGUGAAUGAAUAUGCUUUUAUGUAGUAUGCAAACAUGAAAGGUGAGGAUGAUAUGUACCACGAAGCUGCCAGGCCCUGCAGGUCAUAACAAGGCACCAAAUAGGUACACCCCCCAUUGAUUGCUUUCCAGAAGAAGUGGAAACCUUUUGAAGCAUUAAGCUCCCCAAAUCCACGAAGUCAAAGUCCAGAGCAACAAUACCCACACACAGCAUUGCUGCUGGGCCUGAGAAAGUGCUACUUGCUAGCAUUCAUCUGAAACCGUGCUCAAAGGUCCUAGGCUGGGAGACAGCUUGGAGAUAAGAAAAGGGGCAAGCUUGAGCAAGCACUGAAAAAGACAGAUGUUAAAAGUGAACCCUUUCACUUGGAGAAUCCCCAAGAGCUAGUC